UACGUAGGUGGCAAGCGUUGUCCGGAUUUAUUGGGUUUAAAGGGUGCGUAGGUGGUCUAUUAAGUCAGUGCUGAAAUAUCCCGGCUUAACCGGGAGGGUGGCAUUGAUACUGAUGGACUCGAGUGGAGUUGAGGUAGGCGGAAUUGACGGUGUAGCGGUGAAAUGCUUAGAUAUCGUCAAGAACACCGAUAGCGAAGGCAGCUUACUAAGCUCUAACUGACACUGAUGCACGAAAGUGUGGGGAUCAAGCAGG
rnacentral:rRNA from 1 species